AAUCAUGGUAGAGUGCGUGGCUUUUAACCACGUGGCCGUGGGUUCGAUCCCCAC
rnacentral:tRNA from 1 species